rnacentral:rRNA from 1 species
UACGUAGGGUGCAAGCGUUAAUCGGAAUUACUGGGCGUAAAGCGUGCGCAGGCGGUUUUGUAAGUCUGUCGUGAAAUCCCCGGGCUCAACCUGGGAAUUGCGAUGGAGACUGCAAGGCUAGAAUCUGGCAGAGGGGGGUAGAAUUCCACGUGUAGCAGUGAAAUGCGUAGAGAUGUGGAGGAACACCGAUGGCGAAGGCAGCCCCCUGGGUCAAGAUUGACGCUCAUGCACGAAAGGCGUGGGGAGCAAACGG